GAGGAACCUUACCAAGACUUAAAUGGGAAUUGACAGCUUUAGAAAUAGAGCUUUCUUCGGACAAUUUUCAAGGUGCUGCAUGGUUGUCGUCAGCUCGUGCCGUGAGGUGUUAGGUUAAGUCCUGCAACGAGCGCAACCCCUGUCACUAGUUGCCAUCAUUCAGUUGGGGACUCUAGUGAGACUGCCUACGCAAGUAGAGAGGAAGGUGGGGAUGACGUCAAAUCAUCACGGCCCUUACGUCUUGGGCCACACACGUAAUACAAUGGCCGGUACAGAGGGCAGCUACACAGCGAUGUGAUGCAAAUCUCGAAAGCCGGUCUCAGUUCGGAUUGGAGUCUGCAACUCGACUCCAUGAAGUCGGAAUCGCUAGUAAUCGUAGAUCAGAAUGCUACGGUGAAUACGUUCCCGGGCCUUGUACACACCGCCCGUCAAGCCAUGAAAGCCGGGGGUACCUGAAG
rnacentral:rRNA from 1 species